rnacentral:rRNA from 1 species
GAUGAACGCUGGCGGCGUGCCUAAUACAUGCAAGUCGAGCGAACAGAUAAGGAGCUUGCUCCUUUGACGUUAGCGGCGGACGGGUGAGUAACACGUGGGUAACCUACCUAUAAGACUGGCAUAACUCCGGGAAACCGGGGCUAAUGCCGGAUAACAUUUAGAACCGCAUGGUUCUAAAGUGAAAGAUGGUUUUGCUAUCACUUAUAGAUGGACCCGCGCCGUAUUAGCUAGUUGGUAAGGUAACGGCUUACCAAGGCAACGAUACGUAGCCGACCUGAGAGGGUGAUCGGCCACACUGGAACUGAGACACGGUCCAGACUCCUACGGGAGGCAGCAGUAGGGAAUCUUCCGCAAUGGGCGAAAGCCUGACGGAGAAACGCCGCGUGAGUGAUGAAGGUCUUCGGAUCGUAAAACUCUGUUAUUAGGGAAGAACAAAUGUGUAAGUAACUGUGCACGUCUUGACGGUACCUAAUCAGAAAGCCACGGCUAACUACGUG